rnacentral:rRNA from 1 species
ACUGCUCAGUAACACGUGGACAACCUGCCCUUAGGUUGGGUAUAAACCCGGGAAACUGGGUAUAAUACCCGAUAGGUCUCGAUUGCUGGAAUGCAUCGAGAUUUAAAGCUCCGGCGCCUAAGGAUGGGUCUGCGGCCUAUCAGGUAGUAGUGGGUGUAGCGUACCUACUAGCCUACGACGGGUACGGGUUGUGAGAGCGAGAGCCCGGAGAUGGAUUCUGAGACACGAAUCCAGGCCCUACGGGGUGCAGCAGGCGCGAAAACUUUACAAUGCUGGCAACAGCGAUAAGGGAACCUCGAGUGCCAGGUUACAAAUCUGGCUGUCGAGAUGCCUAAAAAGCAUUUCAUAGCAAGGGCCGGGCAAGACCGGUGCCAGCCGCCGCGGUAACACCGGCGGCUCGAGUGGUAACCGUUAUUAUUGGGUCUAAAGGGUCUGUAGCCGGCCGGAUAAGUCUCUUGAGAAAUCUGGCAGCUUAACUGUCAGGCUUUCAGGAGAUACUGUCUGGCUCGAGGCCGGGAGAGGUGAGAGGUACUUCAGGGGUAGGGGUGAAAUCUUGUAAUCCUUGAAGGACCACCAGUGGCGAAGGCGUCUCACCAGAACGGACCUGACGGCAAGGGACGAAAGCUAGGGGCACGAACCGGAUUAGAUACCCGGGUAGUCCUAGCCGUAAACGAUACUCGCUAGGUGUCGGCCACGGUGCGACCGUUGUCGGUGCCGUAGGGAAGCCGUGAAGCGAGCCAUCUGGGAAGUACGGCCGCAAGGCUGAAACUUAAAGGAAUUGGCGGGGGAGCAC